rnacentral:rRNA from 1 species
AUUAUACCGUGAAACUGCGAAUGGCUCAUUAAAUCAGUUAUCGUUUAUUUGAUAGUACCUUACUACUUGGAUACCUGUGGUAAUUCUAGAGCUAAUACAUGCUAAAAACCCCAACUUCGGGAGGGGUGUAUUUAUUAGAUAAAAAACCAAUGCCCCUCGGGGCUCCUUGGUGAUUCAUAAUAACUUCUCAGAUCGCAUGGCCUUGCGCCGGCGACGGUUCAUUCAAAUUUCUGCCCUAUCAACUUUCGAUGGUAAGGUAGUGGCUUACCAUGGUUUCAACGGGUAACGGGGAAUUAGGGUUCGAUUCCGGAGAGGGAGCCGGAGGAACGGCUACCACAUCCAAGGAAGGCAGCAGGCGCGCAAAUUACCCAAUUCCGAUACGGAGAGGUAGUGACAAUAAAUACUGAUACAGGGCUCUUUUGGGUCUUGUAAUUGGAAUGAGUACAAUUUAAACCUCUUAACGAGGAACAAUUGGAGGGCAAGUCUGGUGCCAGCAGCCGCGGUAAUUCCAGCUCCAAUAGCGUAUAUUAAAGUUGUUGCAGUUAAAAAGCUCGUAGUUGAACCUUUGGCCUGGCUGGCAGGUCCGCCUCACCGCGUGCACUUGUCCGGCCGGGCCUUUUCUUCUGGGCAACCGCAUGCCCUUCACUGGGUGUGUUGGGGACCAGGACUUUUACUUUGAAAAAAUUAGAGUGUUCAAAGCAGGCCUUUGCUCGAAUACGUUAGCAUGGAAUAAUAGAAUAGGACGUGCGGUCCUAUUUUGUUGGUUUCUAGGACCGCCGUAAUGAUUAAUAGGGACAGUCGGGGGCAUCAGUAUUCAAUUGUCAGAGGUGAAAUUCUUGGAUUUAUUGAAGACUAACUACUGCGAAAGCAUUUGCCAAGGAUGUUUUCAUUAAUCAGUGAACGAAAGUUAGGGGAUCGAAGACGAUCAGAUACCGUCGUAGUCUUAACCAUAAACUAUGCCGACUAGGGAUCGGGCGGUGUUUCUAUUGUGACCCGCUCGGCACCUUACGAGAAAUCAAAGUGUUUGG